CGCUAAAGCCAACAAUGUUAUUUCAACAUAUAAUCUAAUAUAGUCUGGCAUUUUCAGAUGCCUUGUUCACCAAAUAAAGAAGGUAGCUGCGAUACGUUAUUGAAGAUAUCACAAGUAAACUCAAGUAGGCAGAAACUCAAGCCAUUCAAUUUGAAGCCCGCCCUAACUCUCCGCCUUUAAGGUCAUUUCAUAUUUCAUAUUUUACAAAGUAACAAUAUCCAAUUCCAAUGCCACUGUCACUGUACAAUCUAGACUCUCACAACCUAAAUAGUUAUUUUGUUAUUACAUGUAAGCAUCUAGAUACAAAGACGAUUGAAAUAUUGACACCAGAAACUUGUCAUUCAAAAGAGUGAAAAUUAGUGUAUGGCUAGCCUUGUUCCUAUGGAAAUUGAUAAAAAUCAUCUUCCAUAUUGUACACAUCCCCUAAAGAAGUUGAUAAUGAUGUUUCUUCACUAGUACCCGCAAGUUCAGCCUGCAAAAGAAUUGACAAGUUAUGCUUAGUAGCAUAAGAGAAUGGCACUCUAAAGUCAAAAUGGUUGAUAACUCUGUAUGAUUUCAGAAGUCUAGCUUACCUAAUCUCUGAUAUUAUACGGAAGCCUCAUGCAAAACAAUAUUUAAUUACUUUUGUUUAUUCGUUAUUCAACAAUUGAAACAUUAGCAGAUGUAAAGAGACAUCAGCUACCUAGAUUUGGAUAAGAGAGUCACUUUAAAGGUAACGUAAGUUACCAUAAACGUUGAUUGAGAAACUAAUGGUUGUGAUUCUGAUCAUAACUUGCACAAGUAUAAUAAACUAUGCUGUUAUUAAAUCUCAACCGUUGAUUUCUCGAUUAACAGUUGUGAUAACUGACUUAACAUUCUAAAGUAGCUUCCUCACUGAAGAGGAGCCAAAUCCCAACUAUAUAUAAAGCAAACACUUGUCUUUGGUCACUUUUUAAGAUUUACUAACCUUGGCUUGGCGAUACUUCUCAAGCAUGCGAUGGUAUUGCUGACGAGCAUCUGGAGAGUCAACCAUGGACAGAACCCGUGAAACAGCCUCUUCAAUUUCUACAUCUACUUUCUGUUUCCUGAAAAUCUUAAGAAUAUCUUCAUCUUCAUCUUCAUCUUCAUUUUCAUUAGUCUCCAUCUCUUGUCGGAAGCCUCUUAAACCAACCCCUUUUCGCCGCCAACGUAGCACAACCUUGUCCAAGAUUCCAACUGCCCAUAGAACCUUGUAAUGCUUCCUAACCUGGUAACCCCUCACAUGAGCCUGAGGUAUGUAUAUAUCAUAACUCUUCUGCAACUUUUGAUGUCCCUUUUCUUAAUGGUGGUGCUAGCUAUAAUCCAAGUGGUGGUUUUUGUCCCUAUAAAAGGUUUGGCGAUUGAUGUCUAGCAAGCAAGAGCAUUGCUUACGAUUCAUUACUAGUGAUAAGAGCAACUCUUCUCUAUAGAUCCUCAAAAUUCGCUAAAGCCAACAAUGUUAUUUCAACAUAUAAUCUAAUAUAGUCUGGCAUUUUCAGAUGCCUUGUUCACCAAAUAAAGAAGGUAGCUGCGAUACGUUAUUGAAGAUAUCACAAGUAAACUCAAGUAGGCAGAAACUCAAGCCAUUCAAUUUGAAGCCCGCCCUAACUCUCCGCCUUUAAGGUCAUUUCAUAUUUCAUAUUUUACAAAGUAACAAUAUCCAAUUCCAAUGCCACUGUCACUGUACAAUCUAGACUCUCACAACCUAAAUAGUUAUUUUGUUAUUACAUGUAAGCAUCUAGAUACAAAGACGAUUGAAAUAUUGACACCAGAAACUUGUCAUUCAAAAGAGUGAAAAUUAGUGUAU
rnacentral:lncRNA from 1 species